AACACCAGAUAAUAUAUCCCUACGGAUCUAUACUAGAAUUUGCAUGAUCAUUUAUUCAAGCUCCAUACUGAUGCUUCAUUCACUGCAAAAUUUUGAAUUAUAUCAAAGAACAUUGAUCUUUUCUCCAACUUUUAAUACUAAUCAAGCACAGGCAAUAUGCAUCGCUUGGGGUCGAAAUUACUAUUAAAGAGUACUCUUUAAUAGUAAAUUCGAACACAAGUGAUGCAUAUUGCCUGUGAAAUCAAGGUAAUUUGCAUGUACAUCAGAAAUGUACAUUUCCACUCAAACCACUUGUAUACAAGAAUGGAACCAGCUGAACAUGAGCCAGGUUAUAUAUUAUAUAUUUGCUCUCCUACCCCUUUGAUUCAGUACUGUGUAAGGAAAUAUACUAUUGAGUAUAUAUAUAUUAAAAAGAAAAACAAAGAACAACAAUUUUCAUUCAUAUUUUAUUCAACAUAUAUAUACACAGGUUGAUAACAAUGGCUGAUCUGCAUAUAAUGACUGCUAGUUAUUGGCUGGUAUGCAGUGAAAGGGAGCAAAAAAGGAGUAAAAAGUUCAUAUCAGCCAGGUAGUGUGGCUUAAAUAAACCAGUGUUAAGGAAUAUCCAGUAAUGGCAUGACAUCAUGAGAGCUUGUCAUACCGACAUUCAGAUGAUUAAUGAUGAAACUGAAGACCUCAAGUGAAAGGCAUGGAAAAUGAUCCUGUUCCCAUAUACCUGAAAAAGAGGAGGGAUGCCACAAUAUUGAUAAUAGACUUUUGUCAAUUUGAGAAGCAAAGAUGUUAAAAAAAAAAUUAUAAUGCUGAAAUUAUAAUUCAUGUAUUUGUUAAAAAUAUGUUCACUGUACAUACAUGUAUAUUUUUUUAACUUAUUUGGAAAUACAUGAAGUAAUUCAUAUUAAAACUGUGAAUGUAUGAGUUUUCAUGAUUUUUAUCAAUAAAGCUUAAUACCAUAUUUAUUGUACAUAUAUCUGAUUUCCCCUAUACAUUGUAGUCAUAUGAGAGCUUGCUUGCAUUCAGAGAUCUGACAUCAUGUAUAAAGCCGAGUUAAACAACUUCAAAAUCUACCCAACAUGUUUUAAAUGAACACAAAAGAUUCUUCCUAAUUUCUUCUUUUUUUUUCAAUUUUGUUCAUAAAUUUAUAUUUAAGUCAAUUCACCUUUUUCAAACUUUUGAUGCAUAUGACGGAUUUCCCCUGUAUUGCUAUAUCUAUCAGGCCCAGCACAAUCUCUAUAUUUAGCUAUAUAGUUUUAUAAAGCUAUUUCAAACAGCUUCAUUAAGCUAGUUUCGAUUAAAUUUCUUAAGUGCAAUGACACAUAACAAUAUACAUGUACUUUGAACUAAACACAACACUAUUCUAGGUAUAGAUCAUAUGUCAUUUUAAGAAUUUUCAUGAAAAGAGAAUUUCUUUUGUACUGAUAACUAACUGUCCACUACCUUGUGUGUGUCGAAGCUUUGAUAAGUAUAUGAUGACUUUACAAUGUGGAAUCUGUAACAACUUAAUAAUCCUAAACAUUUGACAAUUUUGAAUCAAAAUUCUUCCUAAGGUACAUAGUUUAAGAA